GCCCCAAUGAAGGGGUCUGUGUAACUACUCCAGCAAAGACUAAAGCCUAAAACUCAUUACAAGUCUGAGGCACUAAGAUUUAAAAUAAAUAAUAAAUCAGUUCUGACCCACAGCAGCGUGCUAAAGGCAAUAUAGGUUUUUAAUCAAAUUCAUCCAGAAGUCAUAUUACAGCACAAUUGCAAAAGAUAACUCAGUUCCAAGACAACGCCCUUCUCCUUAACAUCAGCCACACAACAUCUGUGUGACGCAUAUUCCAUUGGAGACAAUUUUUAACUUUUAGUGACAAAUUACCAACAAAAGACACGACAUUUUGGCUACGAGAACAGUAACAGCCUCUUUAUUAUUACACGACCAUUGCAACAAUUGUCUCCAUGGAAAUGAAGAAUAAAGGAUACUGUACUUUCACUGAAAUUAAGUUUAACUGUGGACACAAGCCACGCUAACCCACAAUGCACACAGAUGUCAUUUAUGCAGGUACAGUUAACCAGUACGUGCAACUCCACAACAUGCAGAGUUGAGAAGAAUGAAGAAAGCCCAACUGACCUUCAGUUCAGAGACAGCUUUCGUCCAGCGGAUACAAAGACCAAAGAACACAACCAAACCAAAUGCCCACAAAGGGAAUGCUACUGACCACUUAAGAGCAAACUCAUCCUCCCCUUCACUAAGGAAACCUUCAUUACUGAGAAUUCCAUUUGACAGGAGUGAAAAUGAGCUUCAAACUUCUGUAGCACAUAACACAAGUUAUCGGUUUUUAUGACAUGAUUCCAUAGUUGUUGUUCUGAAGAAACAAAACUCUGAAUAAUUCAACAGAAUCAAACGCACAGAUCAGUUCUGUGGUAUUUUAGAGCCCUGGAAGAUGAUCAUAUAAUAAUAGCUGUGUUUACACUCACAUACAAACUUCUGAGAUUAGAGGGCUGAAAGGUGGACUGGAUGAUGUUUAGAUGUCCCUUUCAACCCAAACCAUCCUAUGUUAACAAUGGAUAUUUUACAUAUUACCUAGGCAAGUAAGUGACAUAGUGAUUUUUGCUAAAGAAGUGCAAGAAAGCGUACACCUGAAUUAUUCCUUGUUCUACCCUCAUAGGAAUAGAAACUUGCACCAGUUCUGCUCCUAGAAUCCCCAGUUAUGAUACGUAACCAUUUCAAUACCUUGGAUUUCAACACGCCAUGACUACUGAACCAGAUGAAGCAGAAGCCCGGUGCUCAGCAAGAUUCCAACUUUCUGAAGUGACUCAACUAGGAACUUAGAAUUGGAAUUCUGAGCCAGGCAGGAAGUGACCUUCAAAAUCAAUACUGUCACACACGAGUUAAAAGCAUUUUCCAUGUCUUCUGCAACAUUUCCUGUGACAUGAAUGUAAGGAAGUCCAUUACACUAAGACACAGAAAUCUGCAGCUAUGGAUGCUAACACCUCCCUCCUACAUUUCACAUUUCCCAUUUCAAUGGAAAAAUUACUUCUGAGAUACUUUGUUAAGAAAAAGCUAUUCAGGGAUCAAACUUCUCUCUCCAGAUAGAGAGUCCUCAUGAUGCCAUUUUAACCAAAGAUGGAUCUUUAAUUUACAUCAACUUCUUCCUCUUCUUGUUUUAUACCAUACAGCGUAGCUGAAGUUUUAUUGGUCAGCUCUAUGCCAACAUUCCUUUCAGAAGUGGAAAAAAAUAAGUUAUAUCAUGUCCAAAUAAUAAAUUCCCCAAAAUAUCCAUCUUUACAUGGCAUUCAUCGUUAGGCUCAAGACUUGUGUCAGCUUCAAGCUUGGAGUUGCAUUUCAUGCACGUCAAUCUAAACAGACUAAUGUGCCUUUUCAGGAUAGGUGAGUCCUGGAAAGUACUCUCAAAGCUGAGAUGAGCACGGAAGGGAAAAGGUGGAAAGCACUACAAACAAACCUAGUCUCUUCCUGACCCUCUCCACCCUGUUUUAAAUAGGACACGUGGUUUCUACAAAAUUAUCUCUACCAGGCUGUGGCAACAACCCUCAACUGUGGUUUUGGUUGCAUGCGUUUACAGUCAGUUCCUGACUGUCUGAUUUACAAGCUGUGACAUCAAAACACCAGAAGUACAGUUACAAAUGGCAAAAAAGAACACUUCAAAGAUCAGAACUGCGUUUUUCUCACAUACAGCUGUGCCAACAUUACAGUCAGAUUGAACCCUUUCCUUUGCUACUGCCCAGUAAGUGAACUCUGCAAAAUAUAGAUGCUUUCUCUUGUCUGCAAGUGACCCCCAACAGCACUACAGAAGCAGAGCAUUAUGGAUGCCUGCAACCCCAAAUGUUUGUCAGGAAGCACAUUUGAGUAUUUCAGUCUGCAAGGGAUGCCUUAAAGACUGCUGACACCUAGUGCCAGCGCAAUGGUGUUAGCCCUGGUGGAUGUCUUUGACAGUUCCCUGACAGGGCGAAUUAGACAAGGCUAAGACAUACAGCACCUUUUUAGGCAGUACUCCAUCCAACGUACUGGUCACAGAAAACUGUAUUUCCAGAUUUGCCCAGCACUGUAGUGAGGAAAGGACCGAUUCAGUCCUCUUACUGCAUGCUACUAGCAUAAAACGAGUUGUGCCUGGUACAUUCAGAUACAGCUCAGCUAACAGUUUCACAGAGCUACAGUUUCACACACACAGAAGAAAGACAAGACAUAUUUCUGAACCCCAUUAAUAACUUAGGACAAACCACAGAAGAAAGAUUAGCCGUAGGAGAAAGAUCUUCACAGCCCCGUAACCAAAUUCACUCCAGAGAAUCCUGCCCAUU